CAGGGAGGCUGCAAAGUUUAACUGUUACCAUAUCAACAGCAAUCACACUACUAGGCUGGCAGCUCCACUCCACCUUGUGGGACUUUAACCUAGCUGUUGCCGGCAUAGGCUGAAUGACACCCAAGCAUUGCCUCAUUUCCCCUCAUGUUUAAAUGGACACUUUAGUCACCUGAACAACUUCAGCUUAAUGAUCUUUACUACAAAAGAAAUCCCUGGUGGGGAUUAUUCCACCUACGCCUGGUUCAUAGAACAGUGUGGCUGCUCUGAACACUGUAAGUACUUUUCAUUUUACCUUUCACUGCUAUUUUUAUAUGGUAAACACUAUGGGCCCUCUCUUGUGAUUCUUAUUUCAUAAGACCGGCACUGCAAGCAUCGCUAGAAGGAUAUCCUACAUGUGGGGAGUUUAAAUACCACUGUAUGC